GUGCUUGCUUAGGCAGCACAGGAACAAUUGGAAUAAUGCAGUGAAUAGCAUGGCCCCUCCCACAAAGAUGACAUACAAAUUCAUGAUUCAUUUCAGUUUUUC
rnacentral:snRNA from 1 species